GCUUGCUCACUUUCUCCUGAAGCUCUGGACAGGUGCUUGGAAGCUCAUUUCUUUCAUCUUGCUGGAAUUGUAUAACUGCACAAGGACCCUUUGUGAGACUUCAGUCUGACUUUCACAAUGGGGUCCACCAUCUACUUUCUCCUGUUGGGGUUCAUCUUCCCUGGACACAGCGUCCCUCUGAGCCCUCAAAAAGGUGGAAGUGAUUGUCCCUCUGGAGAUAUUAAUGUAUAUAUUCUGCCCCCAACACCAAGAGCCUUGUACAUUGAUAGAAAUAGCAAGAUCAGCUGUGUUGUGAACAAUCUGCAAAAUGAACAGGGGUUGAAAAUUACCUGGUCUCGGGAGAAGAAUGGACACCUGAAUCCUGAUCCAAUUGAAACGAGAGAAGAACCAAAUGGUACCUACACUGUUGAGAGUAGACUCAGCGUCUACUCUCACGACUGGGAAUCGGGAGAGGUUUUCACCUGUGUGGUGGAACAUCCAUCCUUUGUUACCCCUGUCACAAAGACAAUUUCCGAGACCAGAGGCAAGCGCAGUGCACCCAAGGUCUUUGUCUUCCCUCCUCACCGAGAUGAGCUCAACCCAGGCACAACGGUGUCUCUUAUCUGCAGGGUAACUGGUUUUUACCCAACUGGAUCUGAGCAACAUAUCCCCAGGGCUGACUGGGAAACCGGUGACUUCAUUUGUGUGAUGUCCACAAAGCCCUCCCCAUGAAGUUCACCCAGAGGAACAUCUCAAAAACCCAGGGUAAAAAAUGAACCAGCUGCUCCGUUUCAAUCCAUCCUAGAUUUGCCUCUAGCACUGUCAGACCAAACUGUUCAUGAUUUCCCAGCUCACCCAUUUCACAUCUGGAUGAAUAAAAAGCAACCCAUCUCAGAAAUA